rnacentral:lncRNA from 1 species
GAUAAUUCAUCUUUGAAAAUAUAUACUUGAGCAUGUGUAUUUUGCUAUCUUAUUGGGGUAACAUAGAGCCAAAUGGGGCAAGGUUGGCGUAUCAUCAUCUGAUGAAAGUACAGCACUGCCGCUGUUUCCACACUAAGAAUACUCAUAACCUAUCCCAACCUGAGUGGACAUAUAAAUUCAGAGGGAAAAAUCACAAACUAUACUAUACCGAUACAGCUAGAUAUCAAGAUUCUAAGGACACAAUGUCUAAACUAAAUUACCCAACAAACAGUUUGAAUCAUGAAUAGAAUAUAGUUAACAUAACCCCCCAUGCAAACGGUCAUCACGUAUCAGCUAGUAAGAAAGGAGGGAACAAAUCUUGAUUAACAGAACAAUGGAGCACCAUCUUUAGAGAUUGUACAAACUGUAAAACAAAACAAAAAACGGUCAGAGUAAAAAAACAUGACUGGAUAUAUAUACAGCUGGAUAUCAAGAUUCUCUGGAGAAAUGCUUAAACUAAAAUACUAAUAAAAAAUGAAUCAUGGGCCAUUCAAAAACAACUUCAUAUAGAUAUAUACCCAACAAAGAGUUUGAAUCAUGAAUAUGCAAUGCACAUCGCUGACAUGACCCACCAUGCAAACGAUCAUCAUAAAUACCUUUGGAACCCACAACUCAACAUAAACAUGACAAAGACAAACAUGUAUACCAAAUAGCAUCUGAAAACAUAUCAGGGAAGAUAAUUUUCUGGCAGAACCAAGCAUGCGUAUGCAACUAUCUAAAUAUAUGUGCUAAACAGCCACUGGAAACAUUGCUAUAGAACAGACCGGAUAAAGCAAUUUCCACACAGAACAAUGCAUGCAUGUUUGCACAACCAAUCAAACACAUGUAUAGAAUAUAUACUGACAAACAAUUAGUCUAGAAAGACUAACUAUGCCGGAGCAAGUUGAUCAUGAAACUCCAUACCAAGACAUCUCCAGAUUUUUCCGGAAAUGAGAGUUCAGUAAGCUACUACCUUCAGCCUCCUAACUGAUUUGAGAGCAACAUUUAUUAGUUUUUAGAAACAUGAAAAAAACAUUAGGCACAUUUGAAUAAACAUUUAAGAGAAGGGAACUGCAAAACGAAAUUCAGUAAACAGAAACGCCACUAUAGCUCAUGACUAAAUUGACUCUCUUUCAGUAAAAAGUAGGAAAGUGUAACCACCUUAGUAAAAAUAGAAUGAGCAUGCUACCAUGCCCUUGCGCAGGUUCAAGCUACAUUCGAAGAAGGGACGUCUAUUGAACAAAAACUGGGUCGAUAGUAUUUUGCAAUAGCUAACUAUGCAACUUUUCUCCACGAACAUGAGAUAAUUUAAAUGGCAGGAUCAUGUUUGUUUUCCCCUUAUUUUCAGUUGGAUUGUAAUAACUCAGCAGCAAAGAGUACACCACAGUGGUUUAGUCUACUAAUCUGAUUCAAUUCAAGAAUGGGUAGCCUAUUCUCUUGUAUAUGUCAGCAAGCUCUUUUUUGUACUCAAGUCAAAACUAAGCAUAAAUACCUACUCACCUACAUAAGUUGUUGUUGCACAUGCCCAUGUAUUUGGUGCAAGUUGAGGCCUCCUUUAAGUAACAUUAUGACCACUCUUCAAGUCUUCAUACCUACAAACACCAUCAAAGUAUGAAGUCUAACCGAGGUGGAACCGUGUAAGGACUAAAGAAAGGGAAAGUGUUUGAUUCAUAAGCAAAGAGAGCAAGAGACCGAACUUUCAGAACAUUUAGGUUUAUUAGUAAGGAAACAGUGGUAACAUUUUCUUAGUAAUUAAGCUCGAUGGAAAUAAAGGUACUUUUCAUGUAUGACGCCCAAAAAAAGUUUAAACAUCUUUUCCUUUUGCUGUACCAUGAUCAUACCACAAUGUGAGAUGCAGACAGGGAAAAGUUCAGAUCCAAAAUCAUAUCUCAUAGAUAUGUUUGUACAUUAAGGAAAAGAAAAACAUUACUGGCAUUCUGCAAAAACACAUUAAGAAAUGGAGCUUUUGGACCAGUGAAUUACACUGGUAUUCUCAAAAUACCACAUCUACAAUCU